rnacentral:rRNA from 1 species
UACGGGGGGUGCGAGCGUUAAUCGGAAUUACUGGGCGUAAAGGGUUCGUAGGUGGUAUGUUAAGUCAGAUGUGAAAGCCCAGGGCUCAACCUUGGAACUGCAUUUGAUACUGGCAAGCUAGAGUUUUGUAGAGGGUAGUGGAAUUUCCAGUGUAGCGGUGAAAUGCGUAGAGAUUGGAAGGAACACCAAUGGCGAAGGCAACAUUCUGGACCAAUACUGACACUGAGGGACGAAAGCGUGGGGAUCAAAC